rnacentral:rRNA from 1 species
UGGGGAAUAUUGCACAAUGGGCGCAAGCCUGAUGCAGCCAUGCCGCGUGUAUGAAGAAGGCCUUCGGGUUGUAAAGUACUUUCAGCGGGGAGGAAGGCGAUAAGGUUAAUAACCUUGUCGAUUGACGUUACCCGCAGAAGAAGCACCGGCUAACUCCGUGCCAGCAGCCGCGGUAAUACGGAGGGUGCAAGCGUUAAUCGGAAUUACUGGGCGUAAAGCGCACGCAGGCGGUCUGUCAAGUCGGUUGUGAAAUCCCCGGGCUCAACCUGGGAACUGCAUUCGAAACUGGCAGGCUAGAGUCUUGUAGAGGGGGGUAGAAUUCCAGGUGUAGCGGUGAAAUGCGUAGAGAUCUGGAGGAAUACCGGUGGCGAAGGCGGCCCCCUGGACAAAGACUGACGCUCAGGUGCGAAAGCGUGGGGAGCAAACA